rnacentral:rRNA from 1 species
UUAGAGUUUGAUCAUGGCUCAGGACGAACGCUGGCGGCGUGCCUAAUACAUGCAAGUCGAACGCGUCCCGGUUGAUGAAGUUGAGUGCUUGCACUUGAUUGAUUCAACUUGGUGACGAGUGGCGAACUGGUGAGUAACACGUGGGUAACCUGCCCCGAAGCGGGGGAUAACAUUUGGAAAUAGGUGCUAAUACCGCAUAACAACCAAAACCUCCUGGUUUUGGUUUAAAAGACGGCUUCGGCUGUCACUUUGGGAUGGACCCGCGGCGUAUUAGCUAGUUGGUGAGGUAACGGCUCACCAAGGCGAUGAUACGUAGCCGACCUGAGAGGGUAAUCGGCCACAUUGGGACUGAGACACGGCCCAAACUCCUACGGGAGGCAGCAGUAGGGAAUCUUCCACAAUGGACGCAAGUCUGAUGGAGCAACGCCGCGUGAGUGAUGAAGGGUUUCGGCUCGUAAAACUCUGUUGUUGGAGAAGAACGGGUGUCGGAGUAACUGUUGACAUCGUGACGGUAUCCAGCCAGAAAGCCACGGCUAACUACGUGCCAGCAGCCGCGGUAAUACGUAGGUGGCAAGCGUUGUCCGGAUUUAUUGGGCGUAAAGCGAGCGCAGGCGGUUUUUUAGGUCUGAUGUGAAAGCCUUCGGCUUAACCGGAGAAGUGCAUCGGAAACCGGGAGACUUGAGUGCGGAAGAGGACAGUGGAAUUCCAUGUGUAGCGGUAAAAUGCGUAGAUAUAUGGAAGAACACCAGUGGCGAAGGCGGCUGUCUGGUCUGCAACUGACGCUGAGGCUCGAAAGCAUGGGUAGCGAACAGGAUUAGAUACCCUGGUAGUCCAUGCCGUAAACGAUGAGUGCUAAGUGUUGGAGGGUUUCCGCCCUUCAGUGCUGCAGCUAACGCAUUAAGCACUCCGCCUGGGGAGUACGACCGCAAGGUUGAAACUCAAAGGAAUUGACGGGGGCCCGCACAAGCGGUGGAGCAUGUGGUUUAAUUCGAUGCUACGCGAAGAACCUUACCAGGUCUUGACAUCU